rnacentral:lncRNA from 1 species
UGGCGAGUGAAUGGUGUAUGGUGAUGAUGGUGAUAACAAUGGUGAAAGUCUACUUCUACUUUUGCUCUUUUUAGAGGAUAAAUACCUUUCUUGCACUUUGAAGCUUUUUGAGGAGAAUGAGAUGCUCUAUAUUUGAUUUUUCUUUUUCUCUCAGGUGGGUAUCUUGUACCCCUAAUUCUACUAUCGGACACUUGUCCAUUUUUACUUCUCGUCUUACUUUUUCUUUCCUUCGAGGUUCCGGGCACAUGCCCCUUUUUAUUUCCUUGUAUUUUUCCUUUUUUUAGAGCACUCAUCUCCUGAAAUAAUAUACCAAGUGGUAGUAACCAAGAUAACUCGAGCACUUAUUUCACAGGGAAAAAUAGAAAUAGGAGAAUGUUUUUGGCUAUUCUCUCCCAGAUUAGGAGUAGAAUACUUUUAGGUGAAUCUGGAGAUGGAAUUGAGUGGAUGUAUGUGGAUGCGUACUUCUGGAGUCAAAGUAGCAUGUAUGAGUGAACGUGCA